GAGUCUAGCAUGUGCGCGAGUCAUUGGGACUCUAACGAAACCUAAAGGCGUAAUGAAAGUGAAGGUCCGCCCAGCGCGGACCGAGGGAGGAUGGGCUUUCCCAAGGGAUCGCCCCGCACUCCCAGGGCGUCUCGUUCUCAUUGCGAGGAGAGGCGCACCAAGAGCGUACACGCUGGGACCCGAAAGAUGGUGAACUAUGCCUGGUCAGGACGAAGUCAGGGGAAACCCUGAUGGAGGUCCGUAGCGAUUCUGACGUGCAAAUCGAUCGUCGGAACUGGGUAUAGGGGCGAAAGACUAAUCGAACCAUCUAGUAGCUGGUUCCCUCCGAAGUUUCCCUCAGGAUAGCUGGCGCUCGCUUCUCGCGAGUCUCAUUCGGUAAAGCGAAUGAUUAGAGGCAUUGGGGUCGAAACGGCCUCAACCUAUUCUCAAACUUUAAAUGGGUGAGAUCUCCGGCUUGCUUGAACUGUGAAGCCGCGAGAUAUCGGAUCAGAGUGCCAAGUGGGCCACUUUUGGUAAGCAGAACUGGCGCUGUGGGAUGAACCAAACGCUGAGUUAAAGCGCCUAAAUCGACGCUUAUGGGAUACCAUGAAAGGCGUUGGUAACUUAAGACAGCAGGACGGUGGCCAUGGAAGUCGGA
rnacentral:rRNA from 1 species